GGAUAAUCUGCCCUCAGGUGAGGAAUAAUCCCGGGAAACUGGGGCUAAUGCCUCAUAGGAGACGGGUGCUGGAAUGCUCUGUCUCCGAAAGGUCCGCCGCCUGAGGAUGAGUCUGCGUCCGAUUAGGUUGUUGUUGGGGUAACGGCCCAACAAGCCUUUGAUCGGUACGGGUUGUGGGAGCAAGAGCCCGGAGAUGGAUUCUGAGACAUGAAUCCAGGCCCUACGGGGCGCAGCAGGCGCGAAAACUUUACAAUGCGAGCAAUCGUGAUAAGGAAACCCUGAGUGCCUGUCAAUGCAGGCUGUUCUGGUGUCUAACACACACCAGGAGAAAGGGCGGGGCAAGACCGGUGCCAGCCGCCGCGGUAAUACCGGCUGCUCGAGUGAUAGCCACUUUUACUGGGCUUAAAGCGUUCGUAGCUUGGUCGUUAAGUCUCUGGGGAAAUCUUUUGGCUCAACCAAAAGGCGUCUCAGGGAAACUGACGAUCUUGGAACCGGGAGAGGUAAGACGUACUUCGGGGGUAGGAGUGAAAUCUUGUAAUCCCCGAGGGACGACCGAUGGCGAAGGCAUCUUACCAGAACGGCUUCGACAGUGAGGGACGAAAGCUGGGGGAGCAAACCGGAUUAGAUACCCGGGUAGUCCCAGCCGUAAACGAUGUGCGUUAGGUGUGUCAGUGACCACGAGUCGCUGAGGUGCCGAAGGGAAACCGAGAAACGCACCGCCUGGGAAGUACGGUCGCAAGGCUGAAACU
rnacentral:rRNA from 1 species